UACGUAGGUGGCGAGCGUUGUCCGGAAUUACUGGGUGUAAAGCGCGUGUAGGCGGCAGGCCAAGUCGGUGGUGAAAGCGCCCGGCUCAACUGGGCGAGGUCCAUGGAAACUGGUCAGCUGGAGGACGGUAGAGGCGAGUGGAAUUCCCGGUGUAGUGGUGAAAUGCGUAGAUAUCGGGAGGAACACCUGUGGCGAAAGCGGCUCACUGGACCGCAACUGACGCUGAGGCGCGAAAGCUAGGGGAGCAAACAGG
rnacentral:rRNA from 1 species